AUUGAACGCUGGCGGCAGGCCUAACACAUGCAAGUCGAAUGGUAACAGGAAACAGCUUGCUGUUUCGCUGACGAGUGGCGGACGGGUGAGUAAUGUCUGGGAAACUGCCUGAUGGAGGGGGAUAACUACUGGAAACAGUAGCUAAUACCGCAUAACGUCGCAAGACCAAAGAGGGGGACCUUCGGGCCUCUUGCCAUCAGAUGUGCCCAGAUGGGAUUAGCUAGUAGGUGGGGUAACGGCUCACCUAGGCGACGAUCCCUAGCUGGUCUGAGAGGAUGACCAGCCACACUGGAACUGAGACACGGUCCAGACUCCUACGGGAGGCAGCAGUGGGGAAUAUUGCACAAUGGGCGCAAGCCUGAUGCAGCCAUGCCGCGUGUAUGAAGAAGGCCUUCGGGUUGUAAAGUACUUUCAGCGGGGAGGAAGGGAGUAAAGUUAAUACCUUUGCUCAUUGACGUUACCCGCAGAAGAAGCACCGGCUAACUCCGUG
rnacentral:rRNA from 1 species